CAGUGGCCUAAUCGAUAAGGCACUGGCCUCCUAUCCCAGGGAUUGUGGGUUUAAGUCCUGUCUG
rnacentral:tRNA from 1 species